UGGGGAAUUUUGGACAAUGGGGGCAACCCUGAUCCAGCAAUGCCGCGUGAGUGAAGAAGGCCUUCGGGUUGUAAAGCUCUUUUGUCAGGGAAGAAACGGUAGUAGCGAAUAACUAUUACUAAUGACGGUACCUGAAGAAUAAGCACCGGCUAACUACGUGCCAGCAGCCGCGGUAAUACGUAGGGUGCAAGCGUUAAUCGGAAUUACUGGGCGUAAAGCGUGCGCAGGCGGUUGUGUAAGUCAGAUGUGAAAUCCCCGGGCUCAACCUGGGAAUUGCAUUUGAGACUGCACGGCUAGAGUGUGUCAGAGGGGGGUAGAAUUCCACGUGUAGCAGUGAAAUGCGUAGAUAUGUGGAGGAAUACCGAUGGCGAAGGCAGCCCCCUGGGAUAACACUGACGCUCAUGCACGAAAGCGUGGGGAGCAAACGGGAUUAGAUACCCUGGUAGUCCCUGAGCGGGCUGGCAAGGCGCAU
rnacentral:rRNA from 1 species